rnacentral:rRNA from 1 species
CCUCCAAGGCUAAAUACUCCUGACUGACCGAUAGUGAACCAGUACCGUGAGGGAAAGGCGAAAAGAACCCCGGCGAGGGGAGUGAAAAAGAACCUGAAACCGUGUACGUACAAGCAGUGGGAGCACCCUUUUGGGUGUGACUGCGUACCUUUUGUAUAAUGGGUCAGCGACUUAUAUUCUGUAGCAAGGUUAACCGCAUAGGGGAGCCGGAGGGAAACCGAGUCUUAACCGGGCGUUAAGUUGCAGGGUAUAGACCCGAAACCCGGUGAUCUAGCCAUGGGCAGGUUGAAGGUUGGGUAACACUAACUGGAGGACCGAACCGAC